AGUCCUUCGCCGUCCCUCGCCGUCCUUCGCCAUCGCACGCCACCGCACCCCAUCUCUCGAAAUCUGCAGACAUCUUGAUUUUUCCCACGCUGUCUGUCAGGUCUCCGCCGCCACUCGACGCCAGGGCGCCGGGUGAGUCCACAGCAGGGCGCAUGGUCGGCUCCACUCUCACCAUCGGGGGAAACUGAGGCCCCGGGGAAGGCGGCCAGAGAGGUCAGGCCCUGUCCUUGGUGCAGUGUCUCGUCCUCUUUGCCGGAGUGAGCCCCCCAGGAUUCGCGUGUCCUCGGGAAAGACACUGGCAGGCCUUGUGGGCUGUGCUGCACCUCGGACGGCUUCGCACCAGCCAGCGCCCUCUCUCUCCUGCAGCACUCUGAUCUGCACCCCCUGAGGGGCUUCCACUGUCCGCGGGGUGAGAAUGCCCCUGGGAGUGUCACAUGACUGCCGCCCCAUGUGUGUGAGAGGCGUCCUCUGGGAGAGCAUGGAUCCUGAGGUCCCAGGAUUGUCAGCUGACCUCUGUCCUGUGUGCCCAGUGGCCCCAGGUGACGUGUCUUCAAGAAGAGGCUGAGCUGCGGUGCUUGUAAGAGUCAUGUGCUGUUCCUGGGGCUUGGAUGAUGUAGGGGAAGCAAGGUGAAAGUGGUAUCCCGUGGUUCCACGUUCUGUCCUGCUGUGGGGCUGUCCCUCACAUGCUUUCAGUGGCUGUUGCAGAGGAAGAGCCUCCGGAAAUCUGCGUGGGUCUCAGCCUUAGAUCCAAGGACAGUCCAAGGAAGUCCUAAGACCAUGGAGUUGGUGAUCUGGGAUCUGGGUUUGCUGAUAUUUCUCACCGUGAAUCUCUUGGUGGUGUUUGUGGGCACGAGAGGGGCAGAGAAUGGAGAGUGAGGCUACCACAUGAAGCGUCACCAGAGCUGCUCCCUGCUGCCUGCUCAGAGCACCCCGGAUCCACUGUUCAAUCUGCACAAGAUUCGGGGUCCAGACAUGGGAGACUUCAGCUGCCUCAGAGGACCGUGGACAGGGAAGGCCAGCCUCGCAUCCCUCUGUCCAUGCCUGGAAUGACUUUAAUAACCAAGAGUUUUAUUUUUGAAUUUGUAGCUGUCGUUCACUUUUUACCCACCCAUUCAAUAAACCUUACAGAAUUGCUCCA
rnacentral:lncRNA from 1 species